rnacentral:lncRNA from 1 species
ACGGGCUCCUGGGGCCCCUCGGUGGCACCGAAAGGCGAGGCUGGAGCUGGUGCUGGCCCGGGGAGAGGAAACGGCAAUAAACCCAGAGCGGGCGGCUUCCUGGAGCCAGGACGCCGGGGUCGGCUUAAUUGCUCCGAAAUGAAAAAGAUUCGGGGGUUUUCAAGAAGUCCCAGAGGUGCACUUGCCAAGCCUCAACUAUUAGGUUGAAUUACAGCUUCCAAUCCCGCCCGCGCCCCAGCCUGCCUCUCUUUCUCCCGAGCAGGGAUCUGUCCUCUCCUUGGGAGAUUAGGGUCCGGCUCACAUCUCCACUGCGGAACGUCUGCUCCACUUACCAGCUGGACUUCCACGUGUGGCACGGAGGACACAGCAGCCCAGGGCCAGGAGUGACCAGAACGAAGCUCAGCUUGCAGCUCCAAGCAUCAAGUCCACAUUCUCUCACUGCUACCCCCCACCCCCCCACAGAAGGCAGAGGGAAGAACAGCAGCAGAACCUCCAUAACAACAGAUGCUCCUCGCUGCCCACACCGCAUUCAGCCCUGCAGUGCCUGGCCAGGCUGGUGGCAGUGCUGCCCUCCUGAAAGCCUGUUUAGUGGGGUGGGAGCGUGCCUCGCGCCUGCGUGGCUCUCACCAAAGCGGACAUGUGCUUACCUCACUUGAACAAAAAGUCUGGUUUGCAGAACACCUUUCUAAGUGAGAGGAGUCAUUGUGAGAAGUCAUUGAUUUGAGCAUUGCUUUGUCCUGGUUUGGUUGUCGUGGCUGUCAAAUCAAUAAAAGUGCAAAACUUGAGGACAGCCCUUUUGAAAGCUUGGAAAAUGCACAGUCUUCCAGAAACCCCACUUCCCUUUACGUGAGGUGACAAGUGGUCCUGGAACCGUGGUUGGCAGAGGGAGUGUCAGUCUGAUCAUUCUCAUCAGUCAUGUAAAGCAAAGUGGAAAUAAAUGACAUCAAUCUCAAGUAGAUUCGUUCCCUGAUCUCUCUGGGGAUGUGAAUGAUUUCAGUGGAAUUUGGAGACUCUCCGACCCAGCAAAGCCAGGAACAUACACGCCAUGGCGAAGGUGGAGAAGCCUCACGUGUUGUGGGGUUUUGGGGGGGCUCUUUCUAGACAACAUCGAAACACGAGGAGAGUUCACUUCAACAUUUGGAUUAGCUUCCUGGUAGUGGCAGCUGCUCCGCUGACAAUGCAGGAUGAAGACUCGGAGAAGGCAGGACAUUUUUCUUUUCAACGGUUAAAGUUUGGUGACCAAUUGCUGCAUUUUACUUUUUACAAUUUAGCUUCAUUUUCUGAUUCUCUUUGGUUUGUGAUGUCAUUUUCCUUGGACUUGUUAACAGUAAAUGCACAAUAUUUUUUCCUUUUUUGGAGACUAAAAUGGAAAACCCUUAGUUUCUAGACAGGAAGAAACGGGCCAUCAACAAAAGGCUGAGGUGCCCUUUGACCCUGACAGGACGGGUGCCUGUGGACAGAGUACCAGGCUGGGGAGGGGGCUGUUCCUGUCUUGGUGCCCCCCCCACCUCCCCCAGCUUCUCCCAAAUGACGCAAGCUUCGGAGGACACCCUGCAGCCAGGUGCCUAGGUCCUGGGCAGCCCUGGGAAGACCGUCAGCAUCUGGACGUUUUCUGAUGUCACACACUUGGGAUCAGCAGAACGUGUCCUUUAAAGCAGAUAAUUUCUGGCUGCUUUCCUGUUUUUCAUAUGAAAUCAUUUAUUUUAUUUUUACUUUUUAUUUUAUUUUUUGUCUUUUUGCCACUUCUUGGGCUGCUCCUGCAGCAUAUGGAGGUUCCUAGGCUAGGGGUCCAAUCGGAGCUGUAGCCGCUGGCCUACGCCAGAGCCACAGCAACGCAGGAUCCGAGCCUUGUCUGUGACCUACACCACAGCUCACGGCAACGCCAGAUCGUUAACCCACUGAGCAAGGGCAGGGAUCAAACCCGCAACCUCAUGGUUCCUAGUCGGAUUCGUUAACCACUGCGCCAUGGCGGGAACUCCGAAAUCAUUUUUAUAUUAAAAACGUCUCAAUAAAACGUGGCUAGGGUAUGAACAGCAACAAAACCAUAUUUACUGUAAGAACUUAAUGCUCUGAUGGCAUUUUCUUCUCACCUCUCUCCAGUUCCCUCUUUCUCUCAUAAAAAGACAUCCACGAUGACGACCUGGGUAGUUUC